rnacentral:lncRNA from 1 species
CCCACGCCCUUCGCCAUAGUGCCAAUAUGGCACGGCGUCAAGGGCUGCGGGCGAAGAGGUUUCGGCACACGCCACCCUUCGCCAUAGUACCAAUGAGGUACGGUGUCAAGGGUUGCGGGUGAACAGGUUUCGCCCACCCACGCCCUUCGCCAUAGUACCAAUGUGGUACGGCGUCAAGGGUUGCGGGCGAAGAGAUUUCGUCCACCCACGCCCUUCGCCAUAGUGCCAAUAAGGCACGGCGUCAAGGGCUGCGGGCGAACAGGUUUCGCCAACCCACACCCUUCGCCACAGUACCCGCGCGAUACGGCGACAAGGGCUGGGGGCGAAAGUGAGUUAAGUCCAAGCUGGGGGGCUACGAAGCCGCCCAAGCCUCUGGACACCUUUCGCCACACGCCACGCCCAUCGCCAUAGUACCAAUAAGGCACGGCGUCAAGUGCUGCGGGCGAACAGGUUUCGCCAACCCACGCCCUUCGCCAUAGUGCCAAUAUGGCACGGCGUCAAGGGCUGUGGGCGAAGAGGUUUUGCCACACGCCAUACCCUUCGCCAUAGUACCAAUGAGGUACGGCGUCAAGGGUUACGGGGAACAGGUUUCGCCCACCCACGCCCUUCGCCAUAGUACCAAUGAGGUACGGCGUCAAGGGUUGUGAGCGAAGAGGUUUCGUCCACCCACGCCCUUCGCCAAAGUGCCAAUAAGGCACGGCGUCAAGGGCUGCGGGCGAACAGGUUUCACCAACCCACGCCCUUCGCCAUAGUGCCAAUAUGGCACGGAGUCAAAGGCUGCGGGCGAAGAGGUUUCGCCACACGCCAUACCCUUCGCCAUAGUACCAAUGAGGUACGGCGUCAAGGGUUGCGGGCGAAGAGGUUUUGUCCACCCACGCCCUUCGCCAUAGUGCCAAUAAGGUACGGCGUCAAGGGUUGCGGGCGAACAAGUUUCGCCAACCUACACCCUUCGCCACAGUACCCGCGCGAUACGGCGACAAGGGCUAGGGGCGAAAGUGAGUUAAGUCCAAGCUGGAGGGCUACGAAGCCGCCCAAGCCUCUGGACACCUUUCGCCACACGCCACGCCCUUCGCCAUAGUACCAAUAAGUCACGGCGUCAAGGGCUGCGGGCGAACAGGUUUCGCUACCCAUGCCCUUCGCCAUAGUGCCAAUAUGGCACAGCGUCAAGGGCUGCGGGCGAAGAGGUUUCGCCACACGCCAUACCCUUCGCCAUAGUACCAAUGAGGUACGGCAUGAAGGGUUGCGGGGAACAGGUUUCGCCCACCCACGCUCUUCGCCAUUGUACAAAUGAGGUACAGCGUCAAGGGUUGCGGGCGAAAAGGUUUCGUCCACCCAGGCCCUUCGCCAUAGUGCCAAUAUGGCACGGCGUCAAGGGCUGCGGGCGAAGAGGUUUUGCCACACGCCAUACCCUUCGCCAUAGUACCAAUGAGGUACGGCAUCAAGGGUUGCGGGCGAAGGGGUUUCGUCCACCCACGCCCUUCGCCAUAGUGCCAAUAAGGCACGGCGUCAAGGGCUGCGGGCGAACAGGUUUCGCCAACCCACGCCCUUCGCCAUAGUGCCAAUAUGGCACGACGUCAAGGGC